rnacentral:tRNA from 1 species
CUAGACAUCUGGUCCUAGCAUCUUUUUGGCAUCGACCCACAGCUCGAACUCUUCUGCCGUGACAAACUUAAGUUCU